CAUACAUGAGAGCGGUUAGUAGGGGUUCCAUCUUUCACAUUAUGACCGUAAUAAAACACACAUAUGUUUUUAGGUUGUUAGUACCUCCGUAUGUCAUUAUAAACGACAUCAGGGUACUCAUUUCUCCCAUUACUUUCAUAAAGUGUCGAUAACACUUGAAGGUUGAUCUAUUCUCUAAUCGAGAUAGGUUAUAAACUAGGGAGAAUGUACUUUUCAGUUGACAAAGGAACAGUAGAGUCUUGGUAGAAGACUGCUUUCAUAACAGUAGGGUCUUGGUAGAAGACUGCUUUCAUAACAGUAGGGUCUUGGCAGAAGACUGCUUUCAAAACAGUAGGGUCUUGGUAGAAGACUGCUUCCAAAACAAUUGAGUCUUGGUAGAAGGCUACUUUUAAAAAGUUAGAACCAUGAUGCUAACCUUAUGAUUCCGUAAUGUAUACACUAUAGGAUACAUAUAUGUUAAGUAGAUUCUGACAGCUAAUAGGAUGUGUGUUCUUCGCUGUACGUCCUGUUCCCGUUGGAUGUGGGUUUACACCGAGGUCACCCAAUCUAUUAUCUACCCGAAUCUAUAUAUAUUUAUGCUUAGUAUACAUUAAGUCAUCAUAAGGGUACCAGGUAUGGAUCAGGUCAUAGGACAUAGGGUCAAUGCACAGUUUUUCUAGUACAAAACUUUCGUUUCAAAUUCAGUACUUUUGAUAUACAAAACUAGCGAUUUCCCAGUUAAGGGCUUAAUCCAUUUUUUUUAAGCCAGUACAGUUUUAAAGACUUUAAGUGAGUUAACUCUAUAAUACCAUAGUUUAUACGUCAUGUUUAUAUAUAAGACUAGUAUCCGAAAGCUAGUAGGAUGUGUGCUCUUCGCUGUACGUCCUGUUCCCGUUGGAUGUGGGCUUACACCGAGGUCACCCAAUCUACUAUCUACCCGAUAUCAAAUUAUAUAUAGUAGUAUAAACAAAGCUAUUAUAAAAGUAAUCACCAUAGUCAAUAUUUUAUUAUAAGAAAUAUAGGUUUUCUUAAAAGGAACUCUCCAUUAGAUAUAAAGGAACCAUUACAAAUAACUCCAUGAGUAACAAGUGAAUACACCAAGGUUAUAUAUGACAACGAUCUAACAACCAAUGGAAUAUGUGCUAUCCGCCUUACUUACUGUACCCCGUCGGGUUGUAGGUUGAGGGCAGAUGCGCAUAAUCGAUUGUUUGUUUACUCCAAGUAUAUAUAUCGUGUACCCACUUAUUACGCAUAGAAAGGCUUUUAGUGUCAUUUUAUUCAACUCCCAUUUUAAGUAGGAAAUAUAUGAUUUUCUAGAGGAACAGGAAAACUUUACAAAACAACACCUUACAGCUUACAAUACUUUACAUAUACAUUUUCAACCACAUUUUUAUAGCUUACUCACAUCACUAAAAUCUUAUGAACUCACCAGCUUAAUUGCUGAUCAACUCUUUCAAAUAACUUGUAUUCUCAGGAGACUAUUAGACAGGUGCUCGUGCUGGGACUUCAGAAGAUGGAGCAUUAUAGCUUCAAGUCUUGUUUUGUUAUUUGUUUAUGACUUCUAUGUUUUGUGAACACAUACAUUGUAAACACUUUCUUUCUAAAUGAAAUGGUUGUUCAUUACUUGCUUACCAUAUACAUAUCUCGUGAUACUUGACAUGACGUCCUCCACCCCCGAACGUUUCCGCCGUUCCGGUUUUGGGGUGUGACAGAUUGGUAUCAGAGCAUUGUUUAUAGUGAACUAAGUAUAUCAACCGAUAAAAGAUAUACGUCUAUAAAUACAAUGGGGCUUAAGUGCUCUGGAUAAUGAUAUAUUUUAGAUUAUAACUUCAAGUUAUAAAAAUAUACCUACUUGCUCAUACAUGUACAUAAUAGAACUAGGAUCACGAGGAGAACAGAACUAAAAGUAUUUAGAGGUUGGACACUUUCGUCAACCUGAACAGUUAUGUAAUCAUAGCUAGGAUCAAUAUAGCCUGAUCAACUAUAUUCAUUCGAGAUGUGACCAACAUGUGUUUGGGAAUGAUGUGGUGUUGCAACAGGGUUAAAACUUACCAGAACACCAGUCAAGAGAACGCCAGAACAAGUACAGUUAGAGUUAGAGUACUAUGGGAGUAUUCUAUGAUACGAUAGCGCGAUAACAAGUUUAGAACAUAACAAGUACAUUACGUUAGGAUACUAUAGGAGUAUUUUAGUCCAGAUACAUAACUUAUGUGAUAACUUAAAAGACCCUUGCGGAUAGGUCUAUAAUCUUACAGGGUAUAUUCAUAAAGUUUUAUAUAUAAUCAAGAUCUUAUAGACAUAGAAUCUGUGACCGACGCUUCGCUAUCCAUUCCUUUUAAGGAAGUAGUGUUGAGGUGGGAUUAAUUGUUCGAAGGUCUAUUUGAUAUUCAAUUAUAUACAAUACUAACUGGUAUACCUACUACAAUUAUAGGAAGAUUCUGUAAGGAUCACCCCCAUAAAGUUAUCUUAAAGUUCAUAGAUUCUUUAGUCACUUUCAUUCUCGCACGACAAGCCCAGAUAAACGUAACCACUCCCUCAUAGUAGACAACAGAAGAGUUCAGGAGGAACAAGGACAAACCAAUGAGAAGGUCUCAAGGAAAGAUCAUCCGAAGUAACCAAAAACGUCUUACGCGUCACACUAAUAAAUAUUAACUAGGUUAAUUUAGCGAGCGAGUGGAAACACUGCUCACAUUACAUGUGUCAAAAUUAUUUUCAUACAUGCAGCUGGUAACAGUUAUUCAGGAAACAGAUAUAAAUUCGAGGAUAGUUAUUUCAAAUUCAUAGAGUUUAUUUGGUAUAGACUCAUUUAUGAAUUAUUUCUAGAACCCUGUGGAAGUCAGGACCCGAUACAUCCAGAACUAGGAUAACCUUGUCUUUUCAGCUUUCGGCUUGUGUCCGUUGCUAUAGACUUAUUCCGUCUCAUCUUUGUUUUCUUUUAGCAAAGAUGCCUCCUCGCAGAUCACCCAGACACGCUACUCCAAUAACUCCCAUACCUUCUCCACAAAUCGAUGCAACAACUUUGAACGCUGCAGUGGCCGAGGCUGUGGCAACAACCAUGGCACAAUAUCACUCCACCGGUACUUGUGGAGGCGAAGCGCCUACCAAUUCUACUCAAGGUGAACUCCCUGUGCGCCAGGGAUAAUGCUCCUACAAAGACUUCACCAGAUGCCAACCAUUGCCCUUUAAAGGGACUGAAGGAGUCAUUGCCCCCAUGCAAUGGUUCGAGAAAACAGAGUCGGUUUUCGAUCUCUGAUUAUGCCCGUAAGGAAGCAAAGUGAAGUUUGCUGCCUGCACCUUCGAUGGCAAGGCCCUAACAUGGUGGAACAGCCAUGUUAAGUCACUGACCCUAUCAAUGGCAAACUUAAUAGGUUGGGAAAACCUAAAAGAGUUAAUGUGGGAAUAAUAUUGCCCGUUAGGCCAAAUUCAGAAACUGGAACAAGAGCUGUGGGAUCUCACUAUGGUCGGCUCAGACAUAGUGACCUACACAGACCAGUUCAUCGAACUAGCAGCUCUAUGCCCCGAGAUGAUUACUUCGGAGAGCAAGAAGAUAGAAAGGUACAUUUGGGGUCUGACUGCUCCGACCCAAGGGAAUGUAUUAUCUUCUAACCCAACCACGUUCGAAAGUGCUAAAUGCUUGCUCAGCGACUCAUCGAUCAUGGAGUCCGCCACAGCAUAAAAGUCCCUAUUGUCGAGUCAUCGAGGGAAGAGGACUAUAAUCAGAGGUCAGGGAACAAGAGGAAGUAGAAACAAACACCGCAAGACACCCCGCAAGAGCAACAAACGAGUACUAUGUACACCGCAAAGACACCUACCGUUUCAGAAUCUGCCAGUCGUUAUGCUGGAAACCUUCCAAAGUGUGGAAAGUGCAACUUUCACCACAUUGGAGUGUGCCGAGAAAUGCAGUGUCUGAACUGCCACAGAAAAGGACACACAGUCCGUUACUGCAGGGCACCGGCCCAACCGAUCUCCCAAGUCCUCGGAGUUGAAGAAAACCGAGCCUGUUAUGGUUGUAGUGAGAAUAGACACAUUAAGAGGGACUGCCCAAUAACCAAGAACUCAGGUGCGGAUGGACGUAUUCUGAUGAUCAUCGCAGGAGAAUCUACCCCGGAGUCGUCGUCGAGUAGUGGUACGUUUUUUAAAAUAGUAUUUACUUUUAAAAUUAAUUUAUAUUCAUAUAAGAUUAAAAUAUCGGGGAUGACACUUAAAAGUAACUAUAACAACUCAUACGUUGAAAUAGGUCGUAAAAUUCAAGAUAAAUAAAAGAUCCCUUAGAGAAGCUAUUAUGACUCACCAUAUACAUCAAAUUUGUGCGCAACUGAGAUGUUGCAGACUUAGAGUGAGUGACUCUGCUUAGGUCCCGUUCCUUAAUUGGUUGAGGAUUUGAGGUAAAGAUGCUCAGUCGACUGCCUGACUCAUCUUAAGUAUUCACAACUUGUAUAUGACGGGCGAUGGUAGUGGUACCAUGGGGGAUCAUAGUAUAAAAGUAUCCUUUCAGUAAGUAAAGCACUUUAUUUGUAUGUAUGCGCACAUAGCGGCAUGAUACGUAGGAGUGAAAAUUUCAAAAUAGAAAACAGGAAACUUGAGAACAGUUACAAGGACUACAUGGUUGAACAUGCGAGGAGUACAGUACCAAGCAUACCAGGGAUACAUCGUCGUUUAUCAGACGUUUCUUUCACUUGACCAAAACUUUGUUCGAUAUAGAGUUCGUUGUUUUCUUUCGUCAUGAGUUGGCGUGGUCCUCACCAUACUGAGUUCAUAAGUUCCUAUCGCCUCGAUCGGCAAAUUCUCGAAACUUUCUUCAUUCGUAUCGAAGGUCCGACCUAAACCUAAACUAUAUCUUUUGCAUUCUAAAUCCCUGAAGCACUCGUGCGAAGAGUACUUUGUCCUCCGAAGACUUAUCGUCAGAUAUCCGCAGACCGCCACGAAAUACCACUCGUCCAGCAGACCAAGUUCGAUCAUAGAGGCUAUGGACGAAUACAACCAGCCUAUUAUUUUGAAUGUAUAUGCAAUGGUGGUAUAUGAGAGUGAUUUCGCAGAUCUAGUAUGUGUGUUUCCGCCCUAUCUCCUGUUUUCCCCGUGGGUUGUGGACCUGGGGCAGAGUCGCACAUCCGACAGUCCUACUAAUCUUAAUCAUAUAUGGCUUGUAUACACGAGGUAAUGAUAGAUGGACCAAGUAUGAAUCCUAUCAUGAACACCAGGGCAACUGGUCAGGUCUACGAGUGAGUGUUCUACAAAGCAGAAGAGCUCAAUCCCUAUAGUAAUGUUAAUAGAUCUAAUUUCGGGACGAAAUUCAUUCUAACGGGGGGAUGAUGUGACAACCCAAAACAUUCCAUUCUGUUCAACCAUUCACUUCAAUAUAAGUUAAAACUAUUUCUGCUAACUUUCAAACUUUUUGGAAUAAGUUUGAUGGUUUAAAGUUAGUGCUUCAAGAGAUAUCAGGAGAGUGGAUACCCUAGGGUGUACUAAGUAGAAAAUCAUGCCCAAAACUUCAAGAGUUUUGAGUUUACGGUCCAAAAUGGAAUUGGGACCGUAAACCCAAAAGGCUAUAUAAGGGUGACUUAGUUAUUUUUAUCACUUUUUCACAAUUCCAAAGACUAGAGCCAAUUCUCUCUCAAGUAGCAUCCUGUUUUUCUUCAAGAUCUUCAACUAGUAAGUGUUUCUAGCCCUAUUAUCAUUAGAUCAAGUGUUAGACACCAAGAAAUCAUCAAGAUUCCCCAAGAACAAGGUGUUCACGACCCAAGAUCUUCUUGGACCGUGAACACUAAAAGUAAGGCUUAAAUGUGCCUUUUCUCCCUUUAGACCUUUAGAACAAGCAUAGAAGCAACCCCUAACAUGUUUAAACCAUAAGAGCCUCAAGAAAACACCCAAAUACCACAUGGAUAAGGGGUUUACGGUCCAAGAAUCUCCUUGGACCGUAAACACUAUAAAGGUUGCUAAAAGUGUGCCAAAGUGCCUUAAACUCUAGCCAAACCUUAGAAGCAAACAUGGAACCUUCCUUUGUUGUGUUUAGCACAAGAAAACCACAAAAAUGUCCUGUGAUUUGGUUUUUACGGUUUCGGGAGCUCCCAAAACCGUAAACACCCCAUUGAGGGUUUUAAUGCCUCAUGUUGCUUCCUUAAGCUUAGAAACUAGCCUAAACCUUUACCUAGAAGUGUUUGGACUUGAAAACUUCAUUUGACCAUAAACCAUUUGAGUUUACUACCGUAAACUCAAAGCCAUAUGAUCCAAAAACCGUAAACCCUAUAAAGGAGUGAUAUGUUGCCCUAAUCACUCCCUAAGGCUAAAACUUGAAGUUAGGAUGCUUCAAAAGGACUUCUAGGACUUCAACCCACCACAUGAUCAAUGUAACAUGAGUUUACGACCGUAAACUCAUGGGUUUACCACCGUAAACUCAAGUGGAGUUUUUUCCAAAACCGUAAACACCAUUAGUGCCAUUUCACUUCCCUUUGUUGAAUCACAUGUGAUUCCAACACCUAGCCAAGGUGUUUCCUAGUCCCGGAAGGUGUUAUCUUUCAUAUAGUUGUGUAUAAACACUAUAUUCAUGUCAAUAUGUGUCCUUACAUAUCAUUUAGGACUUACUGUGUCUCGGGACUUCAUUCGUGGAACUUCUCAUCCGUACACGCAUACCCCGUUUGAAUCACCCACAUCAGGUGAGUUCAUACCCCGUAAUGAAUCUUUUAACUAUUUUAAUUGUUUUAAGGGGGAAAUACAAGUUGAACACAAUGUUAAUUGUUUAAAUGUUUGUUAUAAACAUCUUUCAAAAUGUUACUUAUGUUAUUUAUAAGUUGUUAAAACAUUUCAAAACUCUUCUAAAGGUUAUGUUACUUUAUAGUUAUACAAAACUCCAUUUUUAAAGUAUAAGCAUAACUUUGUAGAUAAAUGAGUCUUUUCAGUAUCAGUCCAGUUAGAACAUUAGUAAACUAUUAUAGGUAUAGUUUAGGAGAAUGCUAUUCAUUACUUCUAGUACAAUGAAGCACACACAGAACAGAACAGAACAGAACAGAACAGAACAGAACAAAACAAANAUGGAUUUGCUCGGGUCGCGUAUGGUUCCCUCAAUCUCCAUACAUGAGAGCGGUUAGUAGGGGUUCCAGCUUUCACAUUAUGACCGUAAUAAAACACACAUAUGUUUUUAGGUUGUUAGUACCUCCGUAUGUCAUUAUAAACGACAUCAGGGUACUCAUUUCUCCCAUUACUUUCAUAAAGUGUCGAUAACACUUGAAGGUUGAUCUAUUCUCUAAUCGAGAUAGGUUAUAAACUAGGGAGAAUGUACUUUUCAGUUGACAAAGGA
rnacentral:lncRNA from 1 species